AUUGAACGCUGGCGGCAUGCUUUACACAUGCAAGUCGAACGGUAACAGGCCUUCGGGCGCUGACGAGUGGCGAACGGGUGAGUAAUGCAUCGGAACGUGCCCAGGCGUGGGGGAUAACUAUCCGAAAGGAUAGCUAAUACCGCAUACGAUCUGCGGAUGGAAGCGGGGGACCUUCGGGCCUCGCGCGCUUGGAGCGGCCGAUGUCAGAUUAGGUAGUUGGUGGGGUAAAGGCUCACCAAGCCAACGAUCUGUAGCUGGUCUGAGAGGACGACCAGCCACACUGGACGUCUUCCUCGGCCCAGACUCCUACGAGAGGCAUCCCUCCCCCGUUUUGGACAAUGGGCGCAAGCCUUCUCCCUCCAUGCCGCGUGCAGGAAGAAGGCAUUCGGCUUUUCCCCUCCUUUUUUCCGGCCCCCCCCUUCUCUGGUUCCUCCCCUCGGCUGAUGCCGGUCCCGUCCGCCUCCCCACCGGCUAACUACGUGCCAGCCGCCGCGGUACUCC
rnacentral:rRNA from 1 species